UACGUAGGGUGCAAGCGUUAAUCGGAAUUACUGGGCGUAAAGCGCACGUAGGCGGCUUUGUAAGUAAGAGGUGAAAGCCCAGAGCUCAACUCUGGAAUUGCCUUUGAGACUGAGUGGCUUGAGUACGAGAGAGGUGAGUGGAAUUCCCAGUGUAGAGGUGAAAUUCGUAGAUAUUGGGAAGAACACCGGUGGCGAAGGCGGCUCACUGGCUCGUAACUGACGCUCAUGCACGACAGCGUGGGGGAUCAAACAGG
rnacentral:rRNA from 1 species